GUUUAUUUAUUUAUUUGCUUAUUUCAUUCAUGCAUUCAUUCAUUUUUAUUAUUUUCGUUUGUUUUGCUCACAUUUCAUACAAUUUCCCAGCAGCACUCCGAAGUACAAGCCUUUAAUUUUCUUGUUUCUUAAGGAUUCAUCUUCAUCAUCAAAUAGCUCUUCAUCAUCAUCAUCUGACAGUGAGGAUGACAAAAAGAAGAAGAAGAAGAAGAAGAAGAAGAAGAAGAAGAAGAAGAAGAAGAAAGUAAAAGUCAGAAUGAUUGAUGAUGAUGAUAUAUGUAAUACAAUAUAUAUACAUAUAUGAAAUUUCCAUAUGUGAAAAUAAUUUGAGGUAAAAUCAUAUGAGGUAAAAACGUGUAUGAAACCUAUUAGAAAGUGGAACUUCAUAUAUUUACAUAUAUAUAUAUAUCUAGCCCAAACAAAUAUGCAUGUUUGUGAUUCGUCUUCAUCAUCAAGUAGCUCCUCGUCUUCUUCUGACAGCGAUGACGAGAAGAAGAAAAAGAAAAAAAAGAAGAAGCAUAAGAAAAAGGAGUCCAGCUCCUCUUCCUCAUCCUCUUCCUCCGACAGCGAUGAUAAGAAGAAGAAGAAGAAGAAAAGUGAGAAAGACAAGAAAAAGAAGAAAGACAAGAAGAAGAAAGAUGAGAAGAGUAAAAAGGUGAUGUUCAGUUUCCUCCAUUCAAACCUGCAAUACUGGUUUAACAGCUGGUUAACCUGCAUUGCUGCUGGUUAGUGAAGAACUGGCUUUCUAAAGCAAGUCAUUAAGAACAAAGCGAUUUUUCAGUGUUGUUUUAGGGUCGUUGAGAUGCUUCUAUGGUUGUUAUUAAUAUUUUGAAUUAGUUUUUAUAUUUGUAUUUUCAUUUUAAUUUUAAAGUUUUUGCAUUUUUAUUAGUUUUUUUUUAUGUCUAUAUAAUUUCUUAUAUAAUUCCUAUAUAUUUUGUAUUUGUGAGCCUGGAGCACAAAAGCAGUCUUAAGUCGCUGGGGUAUAUUUGUAGCAAUAGCC
rnacentral:lncRNA from 1 species